rnacentral:rRNA from 1 species
UUGACCUCGGAUCAGGUAGGGAUACCCGCUGAACUUAAGCAUAUCAAUAAGCGGAGGAAAAGAAACCAACAGGGAUUGCCUCAGUAACGGCGAGUGAAGCGGCAACAGCUCAAAUUUGAAAUCUGGCUCUUUCAGGGUCCGAGUUGUAAUUUGUAGAAGAUGCUUUGGGUGUGGCUCCGGUCUAAGUUCCUUGGAACAGGACGUCAUAGAGGGUGAGAAUCCCGUACGUGACUGGUUGCCUCCGCCCGUGUAAAGCUCUUUCGACGAGUCGAGUUGUUUGGGAAUGCAGCUCAAAAUGGGUGGUAAAUUUCAUCUAAAGCUAAAUAUUGGCCAGAGACCGAUAGCGCACAAGUAGAGUGAUCGAAAGAUGAAAAGCACUUUGGAAAGAGAGUUAAACAGUACGUGAAAUUGUUGAAAGGGAAGCGCUUGCAACCAGACUUGCAUGCGGUUGAUCAUCCGAGCUUCUGCCCGGUGCACUCGAUCGUAUUCAGGCCAGCAUCGGUUUUGGUGGGCGGAUAAAGGCCUUGGGAAUGUAGCUUCCUUCGGGGAGUGUUAUAGCCCUCGGUGCAAUGCGCCCAACCGGGACCGAGGACCGCGCUUCGGCUAGGAUGCUGGCGUAAUGGUUGUAAGCGACCCGUCUUGAAAACGGACCA